rnacentral:rRNA from 1 species
UGGGGAAUAUUGGACAAUGGGCGAAAGCCUGAUCCAGCCAUGCCGCGUGUGUGAAGAAGGUCUUCGGAUUGUAAAGCACUUUAAGUUGGGAGGAAGGGCAGUAAGCGAAUACCUUGCUGUUUUGACGUUACCGACAGAAUAAGCACCGGCUAACUCUGUGCCAGCAGCCGCGGUAAUACAGAGGGUGCAAGCGUUAAUCGGAAUUACUGGGCGUAAAGCGCGCGUAGGUGGUUCGUUAAGUUGAAUGUGAAAGCCCCGGGCUCAACCUGGGAACUGCAUCCAAAACUGGCGAGCUAGAGUAGGGCAGAGGGUGGUGGAAUUUCCUGUGUAGCGGUGAAAUGCGUGGAUAUAGGAAGGAACACCAGUGGCGAAGGCGACCACCUUGGCUCAUACUGACACUGAGGUGCGAAAGCGUGGGGAGCAAACAGG